CCUGGCGGUAGGUUUAACACAUGCCAGUCGUGCGAGAAAGUAUCUUCGGAUAUGAGUAGAGCGGCGGACGGGUGAGUAACGCGUAGGAAUCUACCUAGUAGAAGGGGAUAGCCCGGGGAAACCCGGAUUAAUACCGUAUACCUCCUUCGGGAGAAAGAAGGCCUCUCUUUGAAGCUUUCGCUAUUAGAUGAGCCUGCGUAAGAUUAGCUUGUUGGUGAGGUAAAGGCUCACCAAGGCGACGAUCUUUAGCUGGUCUGAGAGGACGAC
rnacentral:rRNA from 1 species